GAAAGCAAGCAAGGGCGCACGGGGGAUGCCUGUGGCUCUCGGAGGCGAUGAAGGACGCGACAAGCUGCGAAAAGCUGCGGCGAGGGGCAAAUACCCCGCGACCCGCAGAUGUCCGAAUGGGGGAACCCGGCGGGAGCGAUCCCGCCACGGCGGCCAGUCCGCCGGGCGAACGCGGGGAACUGAAACAUCUCAGUACCCGCAGGAAGAGAAAAUAAGAAUGAUUGCGCAAGUAGCGGCGAGCGAACGCGCAGGAGCCCAAACCGCGGCUGUCAAGGCAGCGCGCGGGGUUGUAGGACCGGCGACAGUGCCGAAGAUGCCAGGAUAGCGGAACGCGCUGGAAAGCGCGGCCAUAGCGGGUGAAAGCCCCUUACGCGAAAUCCCGGCCUCGAGGCCAGCCGGCACCUGAGUACCGCGGAGCACGAGGAAUUCUGCGGGAAUCUGCGGGGCCCAUCCCGCAAGGCUAAACACUACCGAGAGACCGAUAGCGCACAAGUACCGUGAGGGAAAGGUGAAAAGAACCUCGAGCAGAGGAGUGAAACAGACCCUGAAACCGUGCGCCUACAAGCGGUCGGAGCCCCCAUGGGGGGUGACGGCGUGCCUUUUGCAUAAUGAACCUGCGAGUUGCCGUCGCCGGCGAGGUUAAGGGCGAGAGACGCCCGGAGCCGGAGCGAAAGCGAGUCCGAACAGGGCGCCGCUAGUCGGCGGAGGCAGACGCGAAACCAAGUGAUCUACCCUUGGCCAGGAUGAAGGACGGGUGACUCCGUCUGGAGGUCCGAACCGGUAAGCGUUGAAAAGCUUACGGAUGAGCUGAGGGUAGGAGUGAAAGGCCAAUCAAACUUGGAGAUAGCUCGUACUCCCCGAAAUGUAUUUAGGUGCAGCCUCGGGGCAGAGAAGCGGAGGUAGAGCGACCGAUAGGAUGCGAGGGCUUCACCGCCUGUCAAGUCCUGCCGAACUCCGAAUGCCGCCAUCUCGGUCCCCGGGAGUAAGGGCGCGGGUGCUAAGGUCCGCGUCCGAGAGAGGAACAACUCAGACCACCGUCUAAGGCCCCGGAAUCCGGGCUAAGUUGAAGACAAUAACGAAGUGCGGCCGCAGUGACAGCCAGGAUGUUGGCUUGGAAGCAGCCAUUCAUUUAAAGAGUGCGUAACAGCUCACCGGUCGAGCGGCCGCGCAUGGAUAAUAAUCGGGCAUAAGCCCGGUGCCGAAGACGUGGAGCCGCGCUCAGACGCGCGGCUGGUAGGGGAGCAUUCCAGCCCCGCCGAAGGCGCCCCCCGAGGGACGCUGGAGGGCCUGGAAAAGCAAAUGUAGGUAUAAGUAACGAUAAGGGGCGCGGGAAACGCCCCCGCCGUAAGACCAAGGUUUCCUGAUCAACGCUAAUCGGAUCAGGGUCAGCCGGGACCUAAGCCGUGACCCGCGAGGGGAAGGCGAUGGAAGAGGCGGUCAACAUUCCGCCGCUGGCUCCAGCUGCGAGGGAGAGACGUGGAAGUGAAACGCCCGCGGGCAGACGGAAUUGCCCGUUGAAGGGGGGUAGGCGCAGAGGCGCGCAGGCAAAUCCGCGCGUCGAGCCGAGCCCCGAUAGUAUGGCGAGUCCCCGGACGAGCCAACAGAGGCGGUAACCAUGCCACCGAGAAAAUCUUCUAAGCUUCAGGCCGGAGCCACCCGUACCGCAAACCGACACAGGUGGUCGGGUAGAAUAUACCAAGGCGCUCGAGAGAUUCAUGGUUAAGGAACUAGGCAAACUCACCCCGUAACUUCGGGAGAAGGGGUCCCGCCCUCCGGGGCGGGCGCAGAGAAUAGGUCCAGGCAACUGUUUAACAAAAACACAGGGCUGUGCCAAAUUGAAAGAUGACGCAUACAGCCUGACACCUGCCCGGUGCCGGAAGGUUAAGAGGAGAGGUCAGCGCGAGCGAAGCCCCGAAUUGAAGCCCCGGUAAACGGCGGCCGUAACUAUAACGGUCCUAAGGUAGCGAAAUUCCUUGUCGGGUAAGUUCCGACCUGCACGAAUGGUGUAAUGA
rnacentral:rRNA from 1 species